AGUGAACGCUGGCGGUAGGCCUAACACAUGCAAGUCGAACGGCAGCACAGUAAGAGCUUGCUCUUACGGGUGGCGAGUGGCGGACGGGUGAGGAAUACAUCGGAAUCUACUUUUUCGUGGGGGAUAACGUAGGGAAACUUACGCUAAUACCGCAUACGACCUACGGGUGAAAGCAGGGGAUCUUCGGACCUUGCGCGAUUGAAUGAGCCGAUGUCGGAUUAGCUAGUUGGCGGGGUAAAGGCCCACCAAGGCGACGAUCCGUAGCUGGUCUGAGAGGAUGAUCAGCCACACUGGAACUGAGACACGGUCCAGACUCCGACGGGAGGCAGCAGUGGGGAAUAUUGGACAAUGGGCGCAAGCCUGAUCCAGCCAUACCGCGUGGGUGAAGAAGGCCUUCGGGUUGUAAAGCCCUUUUGUUGGGAAAGAAAAGCAGCAGGUUAAUACCCCGCUGUUCUGACGGUACCCAAAGAAUAAGCACCGGCUAUCUUCGU
rnacentral:rRNA from 1 species